rnacentral:rRNA from 1 species
GCUGAUCAGCCAUGCCGCGUGUGUGAGAAGGCCUUAUGGUUGUAAAGCACUUUAAGUGGGGAGGAAAAGCUUAUGGAUAAUACCCAUAGGUUCUGACGUUACCCACAGAAUAAGCACCGGCUAACUCUGUGCCAGCAGCCGCGGUAAUACAGAGGGUGCGAGCGUUAAUCGGAAUUACUGGGCGUAAAGCGAGCGUAGGUGGUUUAUUAAGUCAGAUGUGAAAUCCCUGGGCUUAACCUAGGAACUGCAUCUGAUACUGAUAAACUAGAGUAGGUGAGAGGAAAGUAGAAUUCCAGGUGUAGCGGUGAAAUGCGUAGAUAUCUGGAGGAAUACCGAUGGCGAAGGCAGCUUUCUGGCAUCAUACUGACACUGAGGUUCGAAAGCGUGGGUAGCAAACA